rnacentral:rRNA from 1 species
UGCCAGCCGCCGCGGUAAUACGUAGGGUGCGAGCGUUAAUCGGAAUUACUGGGCGUAAAGCGUGCGCAGGUGGUUUUGUAAGUCAGAUGUGAAAUCCCCGGGCUUAACCUGGGAACUGCGUUUGAAACUACAAGGCUAGAGUGUGGCAGAGGGGGGUGGAAUUCCGCGUGUAGCAGUGAAAUGCGUAGAGAUGUGGAGGAACACCGAUGGCGAAGGCAGCCCCCUGGGUCAACACUGACGCUCAGGCACGAAAGCAUGGGGAGCAAACAGGAUUAGAUA